ensembl:lncRNA
GUGAGCUCACUUUAUAAAAUCUCUUUUCCACAUUACCACGAAAAUAUAUUGAGUACAACAUAUUUCAUUUCCAAUUUAUGUUGUUGUUUUUUUUUUUACCUCCAGGGUCAGACCAGGGCUUCUGCAUAGCUCUAAUGUAUUUACAAGCUGCACAGAAUGACAACAUGUCUCUGAAUAAAAUUUGACAUUUGACAAGGCAUAAUAAUAUGUUAUUGAAAUGGACUGCCAAUAACUACUAUAGAAAAGAAAUUUAGCUGUGGCAGAUUCACAUCCCAGGCAGACAGCGGGCAGUUGUAGAUGGUCCCCCAUACACGAGGGAGCAUCCAGAUGCCAGGUCCUGCCACAGGGGCCACAAGGAAGUGGAGUGUGUCCACACAUUCACGUCACCGCUCACCUCAGUCAUCUGGGUGCUAAUGGAUACCGACUCAACAGACUUCCUCGAGGGGUUUCAAAAAAAGGAGAAACAGAACACACAGUGAACACCGAACUCCAUUUCCCACAAGGUCUGGCGGUUCAACUGGAAAACAACAACGAGCUUGACAACACCACAAAUCAUGGCUGACAGCGAGUUACCCAGGUCAAGCUGUGCAGCUCAGUGUCGCAAAUCAUGUCUCCAAACCCCUGCUGUGUUAACCACCACUACGUACAUCAAAUAUCCAGAGUCAACCCAUCCCUGCCCUCUUGACCUUGAUCUCUGCUUCAUGCUUUGGAUUUGUUUGUUUGCUGACAGUUCUAUUUAAAUAAAAGCAUUCUUACAUCAAAAGUCCAGCGUCAACC